rnacentral:rRNA from 1 species
AGGAAGUAAAAGUCGUAACAAGGUCUCCGUUGGUGAACCAGCGGAGGGAUCAUUACUGAGUUUACGCUCUACAACCCUUUGUGAACAUACCUAUAACUGUUGCUUCGGCGGGUAGGGUCUCCGCGACCCUCCCGGCCUCCCGCCUCCGGGCGGGUCGGCGCCCGCCGGAGGAUAACCAAACUCUGAUUUAACGACGUUUCUUCUGAGUGGUACAAGCAAAUAAUCAAAACUUUUAACAACGGAUCUCUUGGUUCUGGCAUCGAUGAAGAACGCAGCGAAAUGCGAUAAGUAAUGUGAAUUGCAGAAUUCAGUGAAUCAUCGAAUCUUUGAACGCACAUUGCGCCCGCCAGCAUUCUGGCGGGCAUGCCUGUUCGAGCGUCAUUUCAACCCUCAAGCUCUGCUUGGUGUUGGGGCCCUACAGCCGAUGUAGGCCCUCAAAGGUAGUGGCGGACCCUCCCGGAGCCUCCUUUGCGUAGUAACUUUACGUCUCGCACUGGGAUCCGGAGGGACUCUUGCCGUAAAACCCCCCAAUUUUCCAAAGGUUGACCUCGGAUCAGGUAGGAAUACCCGCUGAACUUAAGCAUAUC